ACCUCCUUGAGCAUGGAGCUGUGUCAGCUGGGAUGACUGGAGAAGCCCAUCUCUUUCCCCGUCCUCUGACAGCAGGAAAUUGAAAGUAAGGAAAUCUCAUCAGGAACAACACCCACGUGCAGGUACCAAGCUCCUGCUGCACCUGAAUUCAAUUGAUGCAAAGAAGCUGAAUUUAAAAUAUGCUCCAGAACAAAGCAAGGCCAGCUGGAGGAUUUCCUGCAGGAGAAAGGAAAAGCCUGGGGAGGCAGUGGGCCGGAAUGCUGAGCUGUGACACAUUCCUGCUGGCUACAGUCUCAUUCUGUUCCUCCCCUUACUAAGGCGGGCAAGCCCCGGGGUGUUGGCAGCGCUGCGGUGUGACAGCGGCAGCCCGG
rnacentral:lncRNA from 1 species